CCUACGGGAGGCAGCAGUGGGGAAUAUUGCACAAUGGGGGAAACCCUGAUGCAGCAACGCCGCGUGAAGGAAGACGGUUUUCGGAGUGUAAACUUCUGUUCUUAGUGAAGAAGAAUGACGGGAGCGAAGGAGCAAGCCACGGCUAACUACGUGCGAGCAGCCGCGGUAAUACGUAGGUGGCAAGCGUUGGCCGGAAUUACUGGGGGUAAAGGGAGCGCAGGCGGGAAGCGAAGUCAGCGGUGAAAACUACGGGCUGAACUUGUAGACUGCAGUUGAAACUGGGUUUCUUGAGUGAAGUAGAGGUUGGCGGACUUCCCAGUGUAGCGGUGCCAUGCGUAGUUAUUCGGAGGAACCCCGGUGGCGACGGCGGCCUACUGGGCUUUACCUGCCGCUGCGGCUCGACCGUGUGGGGCGCAAACAGGAUUAGCUACCCGUGUCGUC
rnacentral:rRNA from 1 species